rnacentral:rRNA from 1 species
AUUGAACGCUGGCGGCAGGCCUAACACAUGCAAGUCGAGCGGAUGAGGGGAGCUUGCUCCUGGAUUCAGCGGCGGACGGGUGAGUAAUGCCUAGGAAUCUGCCUGGUAGUGGGGGAUAACGUCCGGAAACGGGCGCUAAUACCGCAUACGUCCUGAGGGAGAAAGUGGGGGAUCUUCGGACCUCACGCUAUCAGAUGAGCCUAGGUCGGAUUAGCUAGUUGGUGGGGUAAAGGCCUACCAAGGCGACGAUCCGUAACUGGUCUGAGAGGAUGAUCAGUCACACUGGAACUGAGACACGGUCCAGACUCCUACGGGAGGCAGCAGUGGGGAAUAUUGGACAAUGGGCGAAAGCCUGAUCCAGCCAUGCCGCGUGUGUGAAGAAGGUCUUCGGAUUGUAAAGCACUUUAAGUUGGGAGGAAGGGCAGUAAGUUAAUACCUUGCUGUUUUGACGAUACCAACAGAAUAAGCACCGGCUAACUUCGUG